rnacentral:misc_RNA from 1 species
UGAGCUUCUUUUAUUGUUUUUCAUUCAGUACUUUGGCUAAAGUGUUCAUUUGUAAAGCAGUAUAUCAAUUAAUUUUUGUUUUCUUAUAUAAGAAAUUAUUGAAAACUUUUUGUGCCAAGAGUUUUAUACACACAUGCCAUAUUACAAAGUUAGUGCUAGUUUCCAUUUCAUUUAAUUUGAUAUUAAUCUAUCAAUUUUUUCAAUGUUAUUUUCAUAAUGAUUUUGAAUUCCAGCUCAGAUUCUAUAAAAUCAUUGAUUACAGUUCAGGUUACAUUUAAGAAAUCAAGCCACAAUCACAAUCAUCAGUUGUUAUAUAUGGCCAUUUUUAAUACUCAUUUCUCCAUACUGGAAUGUUAAUGCCGAAAGAGAGCAGGAAUUGUUGUCUGCUCAGAAUGUUCAAUAUUUGAUUAGAUGAGUUUGUGUUCAGUUGUUUUGUCAAACUUACCAGUACAUGAAUUUUUUGGUGCAUCUCCAUUAUACCGGUAGAUUGUUUAAUUAGUUUAGAGACUAUGUGCCCCAUACAAGCACACUAAUCCCGUCAAGGCAAUGCUCACAACCUGAAGCAGAGCCUUGUUUUUUGUAUCCAUAGAUUUUAAUAAGUAGGUUAAAAGUUCCCAUGAAUUUGUAUGAAGUCUUACAAGUACAUUAAAUAUUGUAAAA